rnacentral:lncRNA from 10 species
ACCCCCGCCCCCGCCAGGCUAGGACGAGCAGCCGCCACCGCUGCCACCGCCACCACCGCCGCCGCAGCGCCUCAGUGCGGCCCCGCCUCCGCCGCCCCACCACCUUCACCACCUCCACGCUCCGGUACCGCCCCUCCCGCCAAUCGGACAGCUCCGGCUACGCCCCCAGGGCGCUAGCCCGCAGCCAAUGAGCAACGAGAGCCCGACUGGGAGUCGCGCCGGCCAAUCGCAGGGGCCGAGGAAGCCUUGAAUCUCCGGGCAAGUUAAGUUUAUCUCCGAGGCUCGGAACUGAAGGGAGGUGGCGGUUAGCUAAGUAGUAGGGUAGCAGGGAACAGUUUGCUCUCCUCUGCCAAUAAGAGGACGAGGGUGUGUCAUAUGCAAAUAUACUGCCCUCCAAGCCCCACCCCCAAGAUAAGCUACGCCCCCUUCUCUAGGUCCCUGCAGAAGUGGUGAGGAGAAUGAGAUAAAUAGUUGGGAGCUAGAGCUCGCUAGAGAGUCUAAGAUUGAGCUAAAUAUUUCCUGAUCUCUCGAGAAAGGGGGAGGGGAGUGGGAGGAUUAAAUGUUCCUUCCUUCAGGGCAGUGGUUAGGCUUUCUCUCCACCAAAAUCUAACUUUAGCUGUAAAGAAGACUGCAGUUAUGUAGUACUUUGUAUCCAGGGAUCUCAAAGAACUUUACGCAUCAUUUAUUGUGAACCUUGUUUUGCAAAGAUUUCAGUUACUUGAGGCUUGGGAGGCGGAUAGGGGAUAAAUGUCUGAGUUAUAUAUAUAUUUACGCAAGUAAUCGAGUUUGAGGGGAGAGACACAAAACCUCUGGUUUAGCGGUUUCCUCUUGUUUGUGAAGCACCUUCUAGCAGUUAUCUUAGAGAUGUAAGUUCAUUUACUUGUCCAGCACUAAAAGGCCAAAGGGGCUUGUUUUCUCACCCAAAAGACCUUCCUGAGGCAGCUGUUCGGAUACAUGCAGAGCACAGCGCCCUGCUCAGAAAGGAAGGUUCAGAGAACAAAUUGUCGUUUAAAACUAUUGGGACAAACCUACCUCUUCUAAAGCUUAAAAUGGUCUCCAGCGUACCAGGAUUUGUGAAGGCCUGAAGUUCGUAGAAUGAAAUCUAUGUGGAGAUGAUUUAAAAGAACGGUUUCACUGCUAAAAUCCUUUCGAAAUGAGUUCCUUUAAGUUCUUCAGUAACUAAAUCCUCCAGAAAGGAAAGCCGAGAGAAUCUAGUCCUAUACAAUAACACCCUCUAACAAAGAUCGCUAAAGGAAGAUUUUAGUAGAUGAAUAUCUUCAAUAAUACAUGGUCACAUACAUGUAUCUGACCAUAUGAUGGCUCUCUGCACCAAAUUCCUCCAAACUAUUAUAAUAUGUAUUGUCUGUAGUGCUAUUUAUUUGGCAGUUAAUCAUGUAUUACAUUGUGACAUUUCUUACAGUGAACCAUUAUGUAUGUGUUUAUGUUCUGCCCUCAACUACUCAAUGCCAGUACCUUAUUCUUAACACAGCAACCACCCUUUCUGGUCUGUCCUCACACCCUCAUUCCCAUCAUAGUUAUUCUCCUCUCUCAUGGAAAUGUUCAGUUUCUGGACAUCUCCUUUCUCUUCCAUUCUUCACCUGACCUUCCUUCCUUUCUUGGCCAGCCUGAAUAUUAUAAAGGGAAUUUUAUUUCAAACCCAGGAUCGCACUUAAGAGGAAAAGAAACAAAAGCCAGUUCUUUUUAUUGCACAUAGAACAAGGAGAAACUCCACCCCUUUUGUUGUCUGGUAUGUUUAAAACAAGAAAGAACUUUAGAAAAGUAGGAUAUGAGUGAAAAUUACAACCAAUGUUGAGAACUACUUUUUAAUUUUUUAUUACAAAAUUAGGAUGAUACUUCAUUAAACAUUGUACAUCAUUUCAAAACUGUUAUCUCAUAAUCAUGUUGCUUGUUUUGAAUUAUUCUUUUAAAGUGUAAUUUUUUUAAGCAAAGAAUCCAUAAAAUUACAUGGCUUGGAUGUACCAUAACUUACUUAAUCCUUAUGCUAUUGUUUAAUAUGUGGGUUGUUUCAGAUUUUUCAUGAUUGUAAAUAACAAAAUAAACUUCCUUAUACUUAA